UUGUAGAAUUGAUGAGGUGAAUGAUCCCUGAAAAUGAAAUUUUCACCCAAGGGUUUGACACCCUUUCUUUGGC
rnacentral:tRNA from 1 species